rnacentral:rRNA from 1 species
AUACGUAGGGUGCAAGCGUUAAUCGGAAUUACUGGGCGUAAAGCGUGCGCAGGCGGUUUUGUAAGACAGUGGUGAAAUCCCCGGGCUCCACCUUGGAACUGCCAUUGUGACUGCAAGGCUGGAGGGCGGCAGAGGGGGAUGGAAUUUCGCGUGUAGCAGUGAAAUGCGUAGAUAUGCGGAGGAACACCGAUGGCGAAGGCAAUCCCCUGGGCCUGCACUGACGCUCAUGCACGAAAGCGUGGGGAGCAAACAGGAUUAGAUACCCUGGUAGUCCACGCCCUAAACGAUGUCAACUGGUUGUUGGGGAUUUAUUUUCUCAGUAACGAAGCUAACGCGUGAAGUUGACCGCCUGGGGAGUACGGCCGCAAGGUUAAAACUUAAAGGAAUUGACGGGG